rnacentral:rRNA from 1 species
AUGUGCUCCACGCUCUCGCUCACCACCGUCGCACUCGGGAACUACCUCAGCACACUGCUCGUCACGGUGGUGGCCAAGGUCACCAUUAGGGGAGGCAAGCCAGGGUGGAUCCCCGACAACCUCAACGUCGGCCACCUCGACUACUUCUCCUGGCUGCUCAUCGCGCUCAGCCUCCUCAACUUUGUCGUCUACCUGCUCAUUGCCAGCUGGUACACCUACAAGAAGACCAAUGGAUAUUACCCGGACGCCAAAGGAGGAGCUGAUGAUUCACAUGACCAGUGA